AAACACCAUGUGGACUUUGGUGUGAAGCAAUAACAAAUUGUCAAAAUAUUUCUGCAUGUCGUGCAAGCUGGACCUUACAGUAUCACCCGACUCUAAAAGAACUGCUGGACUAUGUACUUGACACUGAGAGACCAGGAACAGAACUUAUUGUUGGAACCACAAAAGCAUGUCUUACUCGUGCUGACUUUAGGAGCCUGGGCCCGUACAAAGUUUUUUACAGGUCCUGACGAACAUUGAGAAGAUCAUCGGGGAGUUGGGAGCAGCAGCCAAAGCGCCGUUGGAGAAGGUUUACACGGGAGUGUCAGCUGCAUCAUCGGGGCCCGACCUUUGGAUCUCCUUGGGGGAAGAUGUUCCUUGUGGGACAGGACGCGCAAAACCCUGGUUUUCUGCUUGGGGAGGAGUACUGUGGUCUUUGGCCGGCUUUUCAUCCCGGCCAAUACCCC